UUGGAGGGCAAGUCUGGUGCCAGCAGCCGCGGUAAUUCCAGCUCCAAUAGCGUAUAUUAAAGUUGUUGCAGUUAAAAAGCUCGUAGUUGAAUUUCGGGAUUAGUACGCUGGUCGUGCCUUCGGUACGUACUGGUGUUACUGAUUUCUACCUUCUGACGAACCAUCAUGUCAUUAAUUUGGUGUGGUGGGGAAUCAGGACUGUUACUUUGAAAAAAUUAGAGUGUUUAAAGCAGGCUCGCGCUUGAGUACAUUAGCAUGGAAUAAUGAAAUAGGACGUUGAUCCUAUUUUGUUGGUUUCUAGGAUUGACGUAAUGAUUAAUAGGGAUAGUUGGGGGCAUUAGUAUUCAAUUGUCAGAGGUGAAAUUCUUGGAUUUAUUGAAGACUAACUACUGCGAAAGCAUUUGCCAAGGAUGUUUUCAUUAAUCAAGAACGAAAGUUAGGGGAUCGAAGACGAUCAGAUACCGUCGUAGUCUUAACCAUAAACUAUGCCGACUAGGGAUCGGAUGAUGUUAUUUUUAAUGACUCAUUCGGCGCCUUACGGGAAAC
rnacentral:rRNA from 1 species